ACAUCACUUUGAAUGUGAUCCCUUAACAAGCCUUUAAUAACUUGCUCACCACAGAUGUCAAACAUACUGUCCUAUAAUUGCAAGGCUGAGAAUGUAAUCCCUUUUAAACAUAGGAAUUACUCAGCUUUUCUCCAAUCCAUAGGUUCCAUACCAGAUGAAAGUGAGCCUGACUUGAUUGAACUGAGCUACUCUAUCUAGACCCCUAACAGUCCACAGAACAAUAAGACUGGUCCCUGAGGACACAUUUGUACAUUUCCUAUAGAAGACUAGGAUUUUGCACUCAUAUUCACUUGGUUGCCAUCUUUGAGGAUUAAUGUGCCAUAAAUGAUUAACCAGAAGGCAUGCCAUAUGCCAUGGCUGAA